ensembl:lncRNA
GAAGAGUUGGUGGGCGGAGCAGGGGCAAACUUGGGAGCGGUCAGGGGAGUGAGUUAACCGGGUGAAGCACAGGAGCCCCAGAGGUUCCCGGGUGGAUGAGGCUGUGCUCACCAGGGGAACACAGGGCUCAGGCAGAUGGUGGCAGGUGACCCUUGCCAGUGGUUCAGUGUCACUUUUGUUGGACCACAAUGUCUGUGGCGCAUCCAUGUGGAUGGGCCUCCAGUGAACAGGAUGCUGGGAACAUGAGCAGGAAUGUGCUAGAAGGGAUGUAUUGGGAAGGAAGGGAAUGAGACAGGCAUGAAUGGGCACAAAGACGGUUCCCAGGAUGGCAGUCUCAGUAGGGCCAGAAAGCCUGGGAUCUCAGAGGAAGAGAGGCCUGGGGGACAGGAGGCUGUGCCUGUGAGGGGGUCCAGUCCUGGGGGUGCUUGGAUGUUGGAGCACCUGUGGGAGAGGGUGGCAGGACUCUUUCCUCCUAGUCACCCCUCAGCUGCAGGCCUCCCGAGCCUCCCUCCUGCGGCAGCCUCAGUCUGCACCCCUGGCAUCUGCUCUGAGUCAGGCAGGGGACGGUGUGCGUAAGCCCCUCUGGGCAAAGCACAAAGAACUGACAAAGCAGAGGCAGCUCCCUCAGGAGCUUGUGUUCUAGUCGGGGAGGGACAGGCCAGAAACAUGCAAACAAGUGGGAUGCCUUCGGGCAUGCUCCUGUCUCCUAGCAGAACCAGGGGUCCUGGACAUAAAUUUGAACUCCUUCCCCAAAGUACUGCCAUUUUCCCUUGAACUCACCUUCAGAUCUUCUGAGUCAUCUUUGACUCAUCUCUUGUCUUCAGCCCCCACAUUCUGACAGCUGCCAAGUCUGGUGGAUUUUUCCUUUAAAACGUUCUUUCUCUCUGUGCUUAGGGUCCUGCCCUGAUCCAGGCCCUCAGGGCCCCAAACCAUUUCCACUUCCAGCUGGCUCUUGCUGGGUUUGUGUGUUCUACAUUCCCGUUUUCAUCUGCCCUCUUCCCAGUGCAGAAAACUGCCAGGCUCCCAGGACACUGAGCUUGUAGUCCCUCUCUUGGUAUUCAAACCCCAGGGCCUGGCUGACCCUGCCUCUGCCUGCUCACUGCUGGCAUGUCAACACACACCUUCCUUGGGAGGCCCCCUCCUGUGCCCAUCUCCAUGCCUGACCUUGGUGCUCUCAGACCUGGAAUGCCGGGCACCCACGUGUCACCAAGGCACCUCCAGCCCUGCCCACAACCCAGCUGAGUUCCCUGAGGCAGCCUAAUGGGGCACCAUGGUCAGCCCUGACCAGGGGACCUGGUGAUUUAAGAAUAUGGCAGAGGGCCGGGCGUGGUGGCUCACGCCUGUAAUCCCAGCACUUUGGGAGGCCGAGGUGGGCGGAUCACAAGGUCAGGAGAUCGAGACCAUGGUGAAACCCCGUCUCUACUAAAAUAGAAAAAAUUAGCCGAGCGAGGGCGGCUGUAGUCCCAGCUACUCGGGAGGCUGAGGCAGGAGAAUGGCGUGAACCCGGGAGGCGGAGCUUGCAGUGAGCCGAGAUUGCGCCACUGCACUCCAGCCUGGGCGACAGAGCGAGACUCCGUCUCAAAAAAAAAAAAAAAAAAAAAAAAAAAAAAAG